rnacentral:rRNA from 1 species
UACGUAGGGGGCAAGCGUUGUCCGGAAUUAUUGGGCGUAAAGCGCGCGCAGGCGGUUUUUUAAGUCUGGUGUUUAAGCCCGGGGCUCAACCCCGGUUCGCAUCGGAAACUGGAAGACUUGAGUGCAGGAGAGGAAAGUGGAAUUCCACGUGUAGCGGUGAAAUGCGUAGAGAUGUGGAGGAACACCAGUGGCGAAGGCGACUUUCUGGACUGUAACUGACGCUGAGGCGCGAAAGCGUGGGGAGCAAACAGG